UAUACCCUAGAUGAUCCGUCCUAGUUACGAAAGUAAAGGAAGAUAUAAUGAGUUACUUAAAAGUAUACGUGAUAAUGCUAGACCUAGGCACGUUAAAAUUAUAU
ncrna:unclassified sequences EGFOA RNA